rnacentral:rRNA from 1 species
ACCGCAUACGAUCUACGGAUGAAAGCGGGGGACCUGUAAGGGCCUCGCGCGAUUGGAGCGGCCGAUAUCAGAUUAGGUUGUUGGUGAGGUAAAAGCUCACCAAGCCUGCGAUCUGUAGCUGGUCUGAGAGGACGACCAGCCACACUGGAACUGAGACACGGUCCAGACUCCUACGGGAGGCAGCAGUGGGGAAUUUUGGACAAGCAAGUCUGAUCCAGCAAUGCCGCGUGCAAGACGAAGGCCUUCGGAACUGCUUUUGUACGGAACGAAACGGUCUGCUUUAAUACAGUGGGCUAAUGACGGUACCGUAAGAAUAAGCACCGGCUAACUACGUGCCAGCAGCCGCGGUAAUACGUAGGGUGCGAGCGUUAAUCGGAAUUACUGGGCGUAAAGCGUGCGCAGGCGGUUAUAUAAGUCAAGAUGUGAAAAUCCCCGGGCUCAACCUGGGACCUGCAUUUGAGACUGUAUAGCUAGAGUACGGUAGAAG